AGGGGUGUAGCUCAGUGGUAGAGCACUUGCCUAACAUGCAUGAAGCCCUGGGUUCAAUCCCCAGAACUGCAA
rnacentral:tRNA from 1 species